UUUCUUAAUACGGCUGUUUCUUUGAAAUUUGCUCAAGUUAUCGCGAUGCUUCUUCGAAGCCAUAUGUGAUGAAUAGGCGCCUUCUGAAUAAAACUUUUUAUUACAUACUUCACAGUUUUGAUAAAAUUCUGCUUUUUUCUGGACUUCCUCGUUCUGCUUUUGAAUGGACAAAAUCUUUCCAGCAAACACCUCAGCACUCAACGGCGGCAAGCUAGCAACCUUUCUCUUCAGAUUAUAAUGAUGCCAGUCAGACUUCCAAUGUAUUUUCUGUGAUUCUGCAUUAUUGAAAGCCACAGUACAAGUCGUGCAAGCAAAAGAAGUCGACAUUUCGGUAUUCUGUCAAGUAAUUCAAUUCUUAGCCAGUACACUUUUUUAUCGAAAAAAAAAUUGAUAUUGAAGCCGAGUCUUUCCUCAAAUAUAUUCUUUGACUCAAACUAACUUAAUGAGAUGAAGUCAACCCUUUUUUACAA